rnacentral:rRNA from 1 species
UACAGAGGGUGCGAGCGUUAAUCGGCAUUACUGGGCGUAAAGGGCGCGUAGGCGGUUAUAUAAGUUAGAUGUGAAAUCCCUGGGCUUAACCUAGGAACUGCAUCUAAGACUGUAUAACUGGAGUGCAGUAGAGGGUAGUGGAAUUUCCGGUGUAGCGGUGAAAUGCGUAGAUAUCGGAAGGAACACCAGUGGCGAAGGCGGCUACCUGGACUGACACUGACGCUGAGGCGCGAGAGCGUGGGGAGCAAACAGG